UACAGAGGUCUCGAGCGUUGUUCGGAUUCAUUGGGCGUAAAGGGCGCGUAGGCUGCGGGGCAAGUCGGGUGUGAAAUCUCAGAGCUCAACUCUGAAACUGCACUCGAUACUGCUUUGCUUGAGGACUGGAGAGGAGAUUGGAAUUCACGGUGUAGCAGUGAAAUGCGUAGAUAUCGUGAGGAAGACCAGUGGCGAAGGCGGAUCUCUGGACAGUUCCUGACACUGAGACACGAAGGCCAGGGGAGCAAACGGG
rnacentral:rRNA from 1 species